AUGUCCUGGCUCUGCCUAAACCUCAACAACAAACUAAACAGCGGUGGCCAAAAGGUUCCAGGUUUCCCCUUGAAAAUGUAGAUGGCUUUGGAGAACAGGAACCACAAGAGACGUCCCAUGGUUUGGUAUACACAAGGUACUCAGCCCAUUAUGGAGCCCACUCCUAGACCCUUUGCAAACACGGAGAAGACAACCCUAUCAGCAGCUGUAAACGCUUUAAUAUCAGCAGUUGUAAACGCUGUUCAGAGUU